UUUGGUUUGGAAUAACACGGGGAAACUUGUGCUAAUACCGGAUAAGCCUUUACAGGGAAAGUUUUAACGCCAAAAGAUGAGCCCAUACUUGAUUAGCUAGUUGGUAAGGUAAUGGCUUACCAAGGCUACGAUCAAUAGCUGAUCUGAGAGGAUGAUCGGCCACAUUGGGACUGAGACACGGCCCAAACUCCUACGGGAGGCAGCAGUGGGGAAUCUUGCACAAUGGGGGAAACCUUGAUGCAGCGAUGCCGCGUGAGUGAAGAAGGCCUUUGGGUUGUAAAGCUCUUUCGUCGGGGAAGAAAAUGACUGUACCCGAAUAAGAAGGUCCGGCUAACUUCGUGCCAGCAGCCGCGGUAAUACGAAGGGACCUAGCGUAGUUCGGAAUUACUGGGCUUAAAGAGCUCGUAGGUGGUUAAGAAAGUUGGUGGUGAAAUCCCAAGGCUUAACCUUGGAACUGCCACCAAAACUUUUUGACUAGAGUAUGAUAGAGGUAAGUGGAAUUUCUAGUGUAGAGGUGAAAUUCGUAGAUAUUAGAAAGAACACCAAUUGCGAAGGCAACUUUCUGGAUCAUUACUGACACUGAGGAGCGAAAGCAUGGGUAGCGAAGAGGAUUAGAUACCCUCGUAGUCCAUGCCGUAAACGAUGUGUGCUAGACGUUGGAAAUUUAUUUUUCAGUGUCGCAGCAAAAGCAUUAAGCACACCGCCUGGGGGAGUACGACCGCAAGGUUAAAACUCAAAUGAAUUGACGGGGACCCGCACA
rnacentral:rRNA from 1 species